AAUAUUGGACAAUGGGGGCAACCCUGAUCCAGCAAUGCCGCGUGGGUGAAGAAGGUUUUCGGAUUGUAAAGCCCUUUUGGCGGGGACGAUGAUGACGGUACCCGCAGAAUAAGCUCCGGCUAACUUCGUGCCAGCAGCCGCGGUAAUACGAAGGGGGCUAGCGUUGCUCGGAAUGACUGGGCGUAAAGGGCGCGUAGGCGGCUUACACAGUCAGGCGUGAAAUUCCUGGGCUCAACCUGGGGACUGCGUCUAAUACAUGUAGGCUUGAGUGUGAAAGAGGGUCGUGGAAUUUCCAGUGUAGAGGUGAAAUUCGUAGAUAUUGGAAAGAACACCGGUGGCGAAGGCGGCGACCUGGUUCAUUACUGACGCUGAGGCGCGAAAGCGUGGGGAGCAA
rnacentral:rRNA from 1 species